rnacentral:rRNA from 1 species
AUGCCUCUCGCCUCGAUUCGUCCUCGACUGGUGCCUCGCCUCCUCUCGCUUCGGUGUGCUGAUCGGCUGCCUUCUUCGGUUUGUGCUUCUGGUCGAUCUGUUCCAAGUCGCUCCGAAUAUAUUCCUGGUGCUACUUCUGGCGGUGGAUCUUCUAGUCGAUCUGUUCUAAGUGCCGCUCAAUAUCCUGGCAUGAGAUUCGACGUGGGAAGCAUACUAUUUAUUUAUACAACCACGGUCCAUUGGCUGGAGUCGAGGAAAUUCUCAAGCAUAAAACGUCAUCUUCUUACUCAACAUAUAAUUUUAAAGAUGAAGUCGAAGUGGCACGGAUGGCAGCAAUCAACAAGGAAAUUAAACGUGUGUUGA